rnacentral:rRNA from 1 species
UUUGGACAAUGGGCGCAAGCCUGAUCCAGCCAUGCCGCGUGCAGGAUGAAGGCCCUCGGGUUGUAAACUGCUUUUGUACGGAACGAAAAGCCUCUUUCUAAUAAAGAGGGGUGAUGACGGUACCGUAAGAAUAAGCACCGGCUAACUACGUGCCAGCAGCCGCGGUAAUACGUAGGGUGCGAGCGUUAAUCGGAAUUACUGGGCGUAAAGCGUGCGCAGGCGGUCUUGCAAGACAGUGGUGAAAUCCCCGGGCUCAACCUGGGAACUGCCAUUGUGACUGCAAGGCUGGAGUACGGCAGAGGGGGAUGGAAUUCCGCGUGUAGCAGUGAAAUGCGUAGAUAUGCGGAGGAACACCGAUGGCGAAGGCAGUCCCCUGGGCCGCAACUGACGCUGAGGAGCGAAAGCAUGGGGAGCGAACAGG